GGGACUGUGGCUUAGUGGAAGAGCCUUUGCUUUCCACGCAGAAGGUCCCUGGUUCAAUCCCUGUCAUCUCCA
rnacentral:tRNA from 1 species